rnacentral:lncRNA from 15 species
CCUCUAUCUACAACAAUACUUUGACAUAAAAAAUAAAUUAAACUUAAGUAAAAGAAAUGAAAUUCUGACGUGACCUUUGGCUGUUACAUGUCAAGGUCACAACAUGCUAGUGCGCACACUAAUGCGCAGUCGGUCGGUCGGCUGUGUGUCGACGGGUUACUAUGGUUACUAUGGUUACAGCUACAGUCCAUGGAAAAUGAAAUGGCAAAAGCCAUCCGGGGCGCACUUUCGAGAGCGCAGAAUAGAAGAGCAGGAGAAAUGUGCAAAAGAGACAGAUUCACUAUUAAAAUAUUUGGGACCAUCUGCAGCUGAAUCAUCAGACCAGGAACAGCCAUGCACCUCAGCUGCUCUGGUUUCCUCAGCGCCACCAGAAGAGACACAACAAGAGCAUGCUGCUCUUCCUGCCAACCUCACCCUGCCUCUAACCACUGAGCCUGGAUGUUCAGACGUCUGGAUGCAAUAA